UCGUAAAGUGAUUGUGAUUCUGCUGGCCGUAGCUAUUGCCGUGGUGUUUCUGGGCAUGAUGUGCAUAACUGUAGCUGUUUGCUGUGUACUCCGGAAGAUCAAAUGAAUCCCAGGAUGUCAUGGAGGAACAUGCGACAAGGCUUCAACAGAGAAGGGCUGAAGUGACUGAUCAAUCGUUUCCUUUGUUAAAUUCUUUUCUCUUCAAACUAUCUUUUUACUAUCGCUUUAAACGAACAUUAAAUGUUCCAAAGAAACAAGUCUAGCGAGCUCUGACCAUGAGAUCACGCAUCACUUUUCGUUUUUAAUCCUUUUACCACUUUGGGGAAAAUGAAACCACCUGGAUUGCUUGGUCCCCAGUGCCCCCGUUUUAAGGAGCACUAACGGAGAGGACAAAAAUUAGUGGAGGUUUUAGUGGAUGUUUACAUUAAGUCAGCUCGUUGGUUGAUUUAUAGUCACUUACAACAGUUCAGAUUUUUUUUAGUGUCUUAGAUUAAGUAUCUUUGAGUUCUUAAAAGUAUUUCUGUUACAUAGAAAUUGGUAAAACAAAAGUUUUUUAAAAUGA